GCCUCUCUCUCCGUGUUCACAGCGGACCUUGAUUUAAAUGUCCAUACAAUUAAGGCACGCGGUGAAUGCCAAGAAUGGGGCU
rnacentral:pre_miRNA from 10 species